rnacentral:rRNA from 1 species
CGCGACCCCAGGUCAGGUGGGAUUACCCGCUGAGUUUAAGCAUAUA